GGAGUUGUGGCUCAGUGGUAGAGCACCUGCCUAGCAUGUGUGAAGCCCUGGGUUUGAGUCUCAGCACCG
rnacentral:tRNA from 1 species